rnacentral:sRNA from 1 species
GCCGGGCACGGUGGGGGCACACGCCUGUCAUCCCAGCAGCUGGGGAGGCUGAGGCAGGAGGAUCGCAGGGUGGAGGCCAGCCUCAGCCACUUAGGGAGGCCCUCAGCCACUCAGCGAGACCCUGUCUCUA